rnacentral:tRNA from 1 species
GGGGGAUUAGCUCAGUUGGGAGAGCGUCUGAAUGGCAUUCAGAAGGUCAGCGGUUCGAGUCCGCUAUCCUCCA